AACCUUAAAACUCCACCCCUCCUGAGAAACGAGAAACGCAGAGAGAAGAGAGAAAGCUAAACCUCGCGAGGAAGAAAAAGGGAAGGAGAGGGAGAAGAGCGCGCCGGCGUCGCGCCUCACCGCCGUGGAGCCCAUCACACGCGUCACCACCGUCAUGUCAUCGUCAAUCUGAACCGUGCGAGGGAGAGAGCUGCCGCUGCGGGAAACGCGAUGGUGGAGAGGACGCCGCCAGCUCUGUCGCACCUGGUCACUAUCGAGCUCGCCGUCGAAGACGCCACCGCCGUCACUGUGACGAACCCUAGCCGUCGCAGUCGCCGUCGACGCUGUAGCAGAGAAGGAGGAAGGAUGCGCGAACAAAAGAGGGAGAAGGAAGCUGCGAAGCCGUCGCUGUUUCUGCUCGGGAUUGUCGCCGCUGCUGAAGAAGACGCGUCCAAGAGAGAGAGAACCAGGGGAGUGACGCGCGAAGAUGCUCUGACAGAGAAGGAGGAGAACGAGGCUGUCUCAUCGCCAAUGAUUAGAAGUUCCUACUGUUGAUGGGAUGAACAGAACAUGAAGAGGGAGGAGAAACUCGCAGAGGAGAGGGAGGUUUUGCCACCGCACCGCUGGUCGCCAGGGACGCCGCCAUUGAUGCCAGGAAAUGCCACUAUUGGAGCCACUGUCCUUGCUCGGCCCCUAUUUCUGCUGCUGUUUACGCUAGCUCAGCCAUUGCCGCCACAACCCGUCUCAAAUUUCUUCUAAUUUUGACACUCAGAGGGUGCUACUACUCUAAAUGAUUGGAAGAUGAUCAUCGCUGUUUGAAAAGAGCAAUGCAUCACAAUUGUCCUGUUUGCUUUGAGAUUUUGUUUUGAGCAAUGUUAGGAGAAAAUAGUUCUGCUUCGCCAUCAGUUCCUACUCUGUCAUCUGCUGCUGUUCUGUGCUCUCCUCUCCGCUUGCGUCCACUAGGCCGUCCCCCACCUCGUCCGUUGAGGUUCAGUUACGGGACAAAAUUUGUUUAAUGAUUCGGCUGAGGACAUUCUCGGUGGUAGCAGACUUGGAAACAAAUUCCACGGCUUGUUUGAGAGCCAAGUCCUUAGGAGUUCCUUAACAGAUAAAAAGAGAGCAAACAAUGUUGCUAAGAUCAAAGUUGUGGUAUGCUUUGUGUUGCAUGUUUCUUAGUCGGUAAUGGCUUGGCUAGUGUCAACGUGUAUAGAUUUUAAACUUUGAAGUUUUUUGAGUGUGCAAACAAUGAAUUAAUUGUUUUUUAUUUGGAUUUGAAUUUAGUUUGGUGCA